UGUGCAUAGCUUUUAUGUGUGCUAUCUCAUCAGAUGCUAUAACAACCCUGGGAAGUAAAUACAACUGAUAUCGUCACCCCUAUUUUAAGAGUAAGAAAACUAAAGCUCAAAGGAACCUAAUGACAUAGCCAAGCUCCCACGGCUGGGGAGUGUCAGAGCUCACACAGACCUCCGUCUAAACUAACGAAAGGCAGUACUUGGAACAAGAAAGAAAGGACGCAUAACCAAUCCUCUUUGCUUUGCUUUGGAAUUUACUUUAAUUCGUGCCACUGUGGAUGUAAGGCCCAAAAGAGAGAAAUCCAAAGGGGAAGAUCUUGGAGCUGUUGCUACCUAGGCUACUCUCUUGGACUUUGAAGAGGUUUUUCUCCAGAUCUGCCCACAGAUGCUUCAGAUACCAGAACAAUCUGGUCUUAUUCAACUCAUUUCAAGUCAGCAAAUGAGAACUGAGCAAGCAUCUGUGUUUCUGGCACCGCGGGAGUUUCAGAGAUGAGUAAGCACUGGUCUAGAGUCUCACAACUCAGUGUGGUCUGGGCAGCAUCACAUAGGAACCAUCACAAACCCUCAGAAUCUGCUAGCUUACAAGGAUCCCCUGGUGAUUCUUACACACAGUAACAGAAGCUAUGAUUUGGAUGACUCAGAAGACAUCCAGGCCUCU